CCUACGGGUGGCAGCAGUGGGGAAUAUUGCGCAAUGGGCGAACGCCUGACGCAGCGACGCCGCGUGAGGGAUGAAGGUCUUCGGAUCGUAAACCUCUGUCAGCAGGGAAGAACGGUCACUGUGCUAAUCAGCAGUGAAUUGACGGUACCUGCAAAGGAAGCACCGGCUAACUCCGUGCCAGCAGCCGCGGUAAUACGGAGGGUGCGAGCGUUAAUCGGAAUUACUGGCCGGAAAGCGCUCGUAGGCGGUAUGUCAAGUCACGGGUGAAAUCCCCGCGCUCAACGUGGGAACUGACUUUGAAACUGGCAAACGAGAGUGUGUGAGAGGAUAGUGGAAGUCCAGGUGUAGGAGUGAAAUCCGUAGAUAUCUGGAGGAACAUCAGUGGCGAAGGCGACUAUCUGGAACAUAACUGACGCUGAGGAGCGAAAGCGUGGGUAGCAAACAGGAUUAGAUACCCUUGUAGUC
rnacentral:rRNA from 1 species